GAUUAUGCGGCUCAGUUGGUAGAGCAUGGUGCUUGCAAUGUUACAGUUGUGGGUUCAAUUCCCACCAGGGACC
rnacentral:tRNA from 1 species